rnacentral:rRNA from 1 species
UACGAAGGGGGCUAGCUUUGUUCGGAAUCAUUGGGCGUAAAGCGCACGCAGGCGGAUCGAUAAGUCGGGGGUGAAAGCCCGGGGCUCAACCUCGGGAUUGCCUUCGAUACUGUCGGUCUCGAGUCCGGGAGAGGUGAGUGGAAUUCCUGGUGUAGAGGUGAAAUUCGUAGAUAUUAGGAAGAACACCAGUGGCGAAGGCGGCUCACUGGCCCGGUACUGACGCUCAGGUGCGAAAGCGUGGGGAGCAAACAGG